ACGUAGGAGGCAAGCGUUAUCCGGAGUUACUGGGCGUAAAGGGCGUGCAGGCGGUUGGCUAAGUUCGGUGUGAAAUCCCCGGGCUUAACCUGGGAAUGGCGCUUGUGACUGGCGGGCUGGAGUACGGCAGAGGGGGGUGGAAUUCCACGUGUAGCAGUGAAAUGCGUAGAGAUGUGGAGGAACACCGAUGGCGAAGGCAGCCCCCUGGGCCGAUACUGACGCUCAUGCACGAAAGCGUGGGGAGCAACCAG
rnacentral:rRNA from 1 species